rnacentral:rRNA from 1 species
GACGAACGCUGGCGGCGUGCUUAACACAUGCAAGUCGAACGGUGAAGCGCCUUCCUUUUUGGUGGGUGUGGAUGAGUGGCGAACGGGUGAGUAACACGUGAGUAACCUGCCCCCUUCUUCUGGAUAACCGCAUGAAAGUGUGGCUAAUACGGGAUAUUCUGGGUCUGUCGCAUGAUGGGUCUGGGAAAGAUAUUGUUUCGGUGGGGGGUGGGCUCGCGGCCUAUCAGCUUGUUGGUGGGGUGAUGGCCUACCAAGGUGGUGACGGGUAGCCAGCCUGAGAGGGUGGACGGUCACACUGGGACUGAGACACGGCCCAGACUCCUACGGGAGGCAGCAGUGGGGAAUAGUGCACAAUGGGCGCAAGCCUGAUGCAGCGACGCCGCGUGAGGGAUGGAGGCCUGCGGGUUGUGAACCUCUUUCGCCAGUGAAGCAGGCCUGCCUCGUUUGUGGGUGGGUUGACGGUAGCUGGAUAAGAAGCGCCGGCUAACUACGUG